rnacentral:rRNA from 1 species
CUACGGGCGGCAGCAGUGGGGAAUAUUGGACAAUGGGGGAAACCCUGAUCCAGCAAUGCCGCGUGUGUGAAGAAGGCCUGCGGGUUGUAAAGCACUUUCGGUUGGGAGGACUGCUUCUAGCACUAAUAUUGUUGGAAGUUGACGUUACCUUCAGAAGAAGCACCGGCUAACUCCGUGCCAGCAGCCGCGGCAAUACGGAGGGUGCAAGCGGUAAUCGGAAUUACUGGGCGUAAAGCGCGCGUAGGCGGCUAGAUCAGUCGGGUGUGAAAGCCCCGGGCUUAACCUGGGAACUGCAUCCGAUACUGUCUAGCUUGAGUACAGGAGAGGAGAGUGGAAUUCCACAUGUAGCGGUGAGAUGCGUAGAUAUGUGGAGGAACACCAAUGGCGAAGGCAGCUCUCUGGCCUGAUACUGACGCUGAGGUGCGAAAGCGUGGGGAGCAAACAGGAUUAGAUACCCGGGUAGUC